rnacentral:lncRNA from 1 species
CUGAAUACCUUCUAUUGAACUAAAUGAUACAAAAGGUAUAUGGUAAACAGCCUGGAUGUUAUUAACUCAGCACGAGGGAAUCAUCACAAAGGAGAGAGGGCCAAGGACGUUGUGUACGAAGAAUUUGGAGAGUGGAUGGGAGGAUAGGAUAACUGUUCCUCCUUCAAUGUGACGAAUUAGGCAUAGAAACUUAUGGACGGGAAAGAAGAAAGAGAAUGCAAAGGUUUGGGGCAUUUCGCAGAUCUUCUCUGAACCUUAAAUUUUCAUGAUAUCCUCAAAAGAUGAUGCAUUCCUUGUUCUGGAAGGGAGGGGAGAACAUGCAAACCUCACACCAGCCCUAAGCUGGCUUUCUGCUGAUUGAAUUCUGCAGACAUCAAUAGAGAGGCAUUUCACCAUCUGGAGCAGUUUCGGGGCGUUUUUCCCAAGGAAGACAGCAAAGAACUGGUGCAUCCCUUGAAGAGGGUUAAAGCGGAGCAGAGCCCAGUUACAGACGUGGAACUCAAUUCAGGUGUAAUCCACCUGGCAGGGAAAUUCCAGAGUAAUCUUUUGGAAGAAGUCGCUGCUGACUUGGGAAAGGCUGCAAUUCUGCGGCGCUGGGCAGAGCAAGGCCUCGGCAUCGGGCCACGUGCCACGGGCUGGAAGAAAUGGAAAUUCUCAAUCGGUUGUGACUCAGCAGUGAAUCCGGGCAGCUAGAAAGAGUGACGAUUAUUUUAACAAGCAACUGGACUCAGAAGUGAGGGUCUGAGCGCAAACACUCCGGAGUCAGAGACGAAAGAUGAAUCACUGAGGAAAAUCUGGAAAAGGCAACCCUGACUCAAGUUUUAAAAAUAAGGUGAGAGAGACUUCUCCUCCUAGCCAUGACGUAAUAACAGGGGGAUGGGGGCGUGGGCCGUGGACUUCUGAUCCAGCCUGGGACAUCAGAUAAAAUGCAUGAACACAGAGUGUUCAGAAACUGAAUAGGAGACAGCGCAGACAUGACUCCUGCAAGAAGGGAAGCAAGCGAGGUGAGCACAAG